GCAGGGGCAAGAUGGGCUCAGGUCUGGGUACCCCCCGCCACCCCAGGUCGCAGGGGUGUGGAAGGUAUUCUGCUAGGCAGUGACUCCUUCCAUAGGGCUAGACCUGCUGGGGCCUGAAGCUGGUUAUGAAGAGAAAUCUAAAACAGGUUUGUGGGUGAGUCAGUAGCUGGGAGUGCACAAAAAAAUAGGCCUCUUGGAGGUCUUCCCUCAGCUCCUGCAGAUCAGGUGGCCGCCCACGCCUGCUUGCUGGACGGCCAGGACCACAGUGACCCAAGAACCAGCGGGAGCAGGUUUGCUGGGCCGCAGGGUGCCUUCCUGCGGGACCUGGCCUCACUGUUUUGUCUACAGUGCUGCAGGGGGUUGGGGAAGGGACGCUGGCCAAGGCUACAUCUGAGACCUUGUUCCCAACCACAGACGGGGCGGGUUGGUCGGAAAAUAUUCCUUUCCUGAGACAUAGAAGCUCAGCCUCUUUGAAUCACUUGGCCACUUCCUUCCUGUGUGUGUCUUACGCACACUGGCUGGGGGACCGGGCGGGUUCAGGGUGUGUUGUUGUUGCUUGUUUUUAAGUUUAUGUCUACUGUCUUGUUCCUUUUCAAGUUGCACGAGAGAGGGGUGGGGUUCGUCCUAAGAGGCCUUUGUCACUGAAGCGGAUGUCGGAGAUGACUUGGGUUUUCUCUGCAAGUGAAAAACCUCUACUUGUGAGAAUGAAAAGGAAGAAGGGUCUCCUUAGGGCCACAGGUUGAUUUCCAUCUCAAGAGAAGUCCCAAGAUUCAGAGGAUUCAGACAGGAAGAGAGAUGAAUUCUAGGAACGGAGUUUUCAUGAUGGUUUAACUUCAACAUAAGUGGAGAUGGUCCUUCUCCCACCUCUGCCUUCUACCCUGCCAGGGGACACUCCUGGUGGGUCCUUCCCCUUCGUCAGUCCUCCCAGCCCUGCUGUUCUUCAUUCUGCCCAGUUGGCCCUUCCCACCCCAUCUGGCCCUGAGCCUCCGGGGACUGGCCUCCAGUGCUCCUGAAAGGUGUGCACCCUAGCCGUCCCUCUGUCCCUGCUGUCCCU
rnacentral:lncRNA from 1 species